CCUACGGGAGGCUGCAGUGAGGAAUAUUGGUCAAUGGGCUUACGCCUGAACCAGCCAAGUCGCGUGAGGGAAGACUGCCCUAUGGGUUGUAAACUUCUUUUAUAAAGGAAUAAAACGAGGCACGUGUGCCUUUUUGCAUGUACUUUAUGACUAAGGAUCGGCUAACUCCGUGCCAGCAGCCGCGGUAAUACGGAGGAUCCGAGCGUUAUCCGGAUUUAUUGGGUUUAAAGGGAGCGUAGAUGGGUUGUUAAGUCAGUUGUGAAAGUUUGCGGCUCAACCGUAAAAUUGCAAUUGAUACUGGCAGUCUUGAGUACAGUUGAGGUAGUCGGAAUUCGUGGUGUAGCGGUGAAAUGCUUAGAUAUCACGAAGAACCCCGAUUGCGAAGGCAGCUUACUAAACUGUGACUGACAUUGAUGCUCGAAAGUGUGGGUAUCAAACAGGAUUAGAUACCCUAGUAGUC
rnacentral:rRNA from 1 species